CUCAGGCAGAGAAGGCCUAUUUAUGUAUGCUAUAGACCCUAAAACCACAAAAUAAAACGCUGACCACUUUGACUAUGUCGAAGUAAAAAUUUCCACGGCAAAAACCACCAUGAGCAAAUUCGAAAGACAACCUAGAAAAAAAUGUUUUUGGUAUCUCAGAUUAAUUUCUCUAACAUACCAGCAACCCCUAGAAGAUGAAAACAGCUAACAUUGCAGCAGAAAGGCAGGCAAAGG
rnacentral:lncRNA from 10 species